CUUUCCCACUCUGAAAAAACCCAAAUCCCAACCCAGGUUCAUCAAAAUCACGCGGUAAGGUGCAAAGCCCAAGGCCAGAGGGAUAAAAUCAAAGUGCUAUAGAUGGUGCAUUCUCCAGGCUUGAUUGCCAACCUGCAUGAGCUUCUCUGUACUAAUAUUUGCAGCUUCCAUGUAACUAGAGCCUAGAGGGCGGCAAUGGUGGAGAUUCAGUGGCUAUGAUGUUCUCCACUCUCCAAUUGUGGCAUGAAUUAUCCUGGGCAUAUCCACUUGAGGAAGAAAGCAGUAUGAUAAAAAGGAAGAUUGAAGAAUGGAACUACAAGGGAAAGACUUUGAUUGUGUUGUGUCUUGGACGAGUGGUAUAAAGAGAGAGAGGAAAGGAGAGUAACCAGAAGAAUGACAACAGAAGUUCAAUGGAG
rnacentral:misc_RNA from 1 species